GAACUCACGGUCUGAGCCGUUGUUACCGGAGGACCGUUCUCUUCGAAAUUAGACGGGCGCGGCGUCGGUCCACGUGAAUUGGACUGAAUGGAAUACAAAUCUGCCGCGCCGAAAUUGGAAUGUCUCGGCGCGUAACCCAUCAUGGAGUAGAAAUCAGCGUGGUUGAAAUUAGAACCUCGCGGAGUUGGGUUCCGGGAAGAGCUUAAACUGUAAAUUUCAGCUCCGGUGAGAUUCGACGGGCGAGGAGUCAUCAUGAAAGAUCUCCUGGAAGCAUUCGAUUUUCUCACGGUGACAUGAAGCUUCCCGUCGUCGCCAACCUCCGCAUCAGUUUCAAGAAAAUCCCUUCCGUCAAGAGAAACCACAUCGGAAUCAACCUUGAAUGAAACAAUAGAGGCAGCGGUUUCAGGGAACUGUUCCAUGAUGAGAAGCUUAGCACCACGGUACUCAAAUAGAAACAAAAGCAGAGUGUACCAAACGAUACACUGAAGAACCACAACUUGAAUCAUAAGCGUGCCGGAAUAUUCGCCAUACAUGGCUAUGAGAAGUGGAAUUCCCAUAACCAAGGUGUUAGGCAAUGUAGAAAGUGAGAAGAUUGUGAUCAUCCACUCUAAACUUCCAUUGGCGGUGAAAUUAGUCCAAAUUGAAAGUGCGAAGAGCAUGAUGAUUUUUUGAAGCGUAUCUGCAGCGAUGAACCUGAAGUCCAUAGCGUAAGGGUUGUUUAUGGAGAUGAAGUGGAAAGAUAGAAGUGGAACUGCGAAGAUUGCUACGAAGCGGUUUAUGCCUGAACAUUGGUCCGGUGAGAAUAUUUUCCACCACCGUACCGAACUGUAGGCUAAAAUCAUUGCAACGUACAGUGGAACAACUGCCGCUAACACGGUGUAUAGAUCGCCCCAGCUUAUCAUUUUGGUGAAGCUCUUCUUCGGUAAUGGCGGUGGAGUGGUGUGAGAUAGAAGGCUAAAGUGGGAAUAAAUAAAAACCGUUAGUUAACUUAACUAACUAGUAACUCAUUUGGGAGGGUGUAUAUAUAUUCGUUACUGUUAAGGUUUUAUAGCCUGCACUGCACUCUGCACUCUGCACUCUGCAGCAGCUCUGCUAUGUUUCAGAUUUUGCUGCUGAUAUGAGAAAGUGUGUCUUUGUGUGUGUGGGAGAGAAGGGGGUGCGAAUUUACAAAGCAAAAAAUAGAGGUAACUUCUAAGGAAUAGGGAAAAGCCGAAAAGAUUGUUAUACAUAGGAGAAGAGGUGGGUAGCUUAAAUAACAAAAAAAAAUUAUUAAAACGUUUUUAAAAUUACGUAUUCAAAAUUUUAAAAGUUCAAUUUUUAACUUUUUAAUAACUGUUUUUAACCAUCUACUUUAACACUUAUUAGUUUAUUAGUAUGAUACUUUUAUAUUUAUAUAUAUAAAUUCAAAAAAUUCUGAAAAAUGUUUAAAUAAGACUCAUAAAAUUUAUUAUCAAUUUCAAAAUAAUUCAUAACUUAAAUAUUCAAAUAAACUCAUAUUGUUAACUCUAAAAAUAUUAAAUUAAUUGAAUAAAUAAUAAAAACAUGAGUUUAUUUGAAUAUUUAAGUUAUGAAUUUGAUUAAAUUUGCAUUAUGUUGAAGAUGAUAAUUAAUUUUAUAGAUUUUGUUGGAAAUUUUGAUAAAUUUUCUGAGUUUCUAUAAAAUAAAAUAAAAAAUAUUGUUUACAUUUUAAGACAUCAAAUUGUUACUUAAAAUUAAGUAAAAGACCAAAUUAGAAAAAUAAAGAUAAAAAAUUAAAUUAUUAUCUAAAAUUAAGAUACUGUAAAAUGUAUUAUAUUUAUAAUUUUAUAAUAAUAUUUAUGAAGUGCACAUAGAACACUUAUUAAAAAAAAUGAAAGACUUAUAUUAAAAAUAAUUUUUUUUACAAUUUUAAAAACUAAAAACCACAAAUUCUAAUAUAUUUCUAUUUGCAUAGUUCUAUUUUUCUUUCUUUAAUAAGUAUAAUUGGGGUACUUGUUUUCGUAUAUGAUAUAAAUUUAUAUUCUCACGGCAUGAAAAGAACUAUGAUUAUAUGAUCAUGUUAUGUUAUGUAAAUAAGAGGAUGGUUUUUUUUCUCCUUCUUAAAUGCUUUUCUUUUAUUUGGAGUGUAGUCUUGAAUAUGGGAUGGGAGUGAGGUGUUUCAUGGAAAUUGGGGACCCGACGGGGAAACAGUGCCACGUUAGGUUAGGAAGUGACUUUUUAAUAUGGUUAAGGUUACCCAACAUAGGUUAGGUAUAUGGAAAAAGAAAAUAAUUGUAAAUACUCGUACACUUUGUAUACAUCUUAGAAAUAUAAAGAAUAAUGUGACAGGAAGUAUGAUGUACUUACUAAAUGAGUAUAAAAAAUUAUAAAUAUCAUUAUUGAUUUGAAAAUUACAAUUGAACAAAGCUAAAGAAACAAAUAUGACAUCCCUUUAAAGCGGAUAGAAAUAUUUAUUUUAGUACAAUCCCAAACCAAAUAUAUUUGAGCACCCGCGCAAAUAAAUAGAAGAAAAAAUUGAAUUAUGUGAUAUGAUUAAAUUAUUAUUUUUUAAAUUUUUUUUCAUUUGUGUACAUUUUUUAUUUAGGAUUGUACUCAUGUGUGUACUGAUUAUUGUUACAAAUUGUAAUUUGAAAGUGUUGAAUUUUUAUUUAUUUAUACAUUAAAUUUUGGUUGAAUGACAUUUUUACGAGUCUUGAAAUAUCUAUCUUGUUAUUAAUGAAUAUUGAGUAUCACAUUGUGAAUAAUAUAGUUAAAAGGAAUAUGUUAUGAUAAGAACUCACAUAUAUCUUAUAGUGAUGGCAGAACUUCUCAUUUGAGAGUAAGUUCUAUUUUCAGGCGUAAAUCUUGGAGAUUUUACCUAGUUGUGGAGGAGGCAUAUGACUUGACUUUUGUUGAAUAUCAAAAGGAUAGGUAGCCGAGGAGAUGCACACCAAAGUUUGGCUUUCUUGUUUUGUGGUUGUGAUGGUGAUACAUUGAAUAAAAACAAGAUACUCCUUUUGUUUUUUAUAUUUGGUGUUUUUAGAUUUGUACACACAUAUUAAAAAUUAAUCAAUUUUAAAAUAUGUAUAGAUCACUUCAUUAUUUGAAAAAAAUUAAAUAGGUGCUUAUACUAUAACAAAUACAAAUUAGGUUUCAAAAUUAAUUCAAUUUUUGUAAUUAAGUCAUUCCAUUAAGGUUAUAACUUUUUAUAAGUUAAUAACUUAUUUAAAGAUGUACUUCGUUCAAAGCAAUACAGAUCGGACCUUGCAAAAAGUAUUGUAGUAACUAAGUUGUAGUUUCGUAGAAGAAAACUUACUCGUUCACCAUCCUUGAAGCUCUUUUUAUGUCUCAAUUAUUAUUAUUUAUUGUCUUCGACUAAUUAUAUAUACCAAUAGGUGCUAUUGAUAAAUGAAAGGAGGGAGUACAUUUUUGUUUGCCAUUUUCUUAAGACGAAGUGAUAAAUAAUAUAUGAAAUUUAGACACAUAAAUGCAAGAUUUAUCGAGUUUGAACUCAAUACGUGAUGGUUAAUCUAAAAAUAUCGAUAUUUAUCAAUUGAAUUAGAUUUUAUACAGUCUUUUGUCAUUUUAUAAAAUAAUUUUCUUUAUCAUUCUCCUUAAAAGUCUAUAUAUAUAUAAUUUUUUUAGGUUUAAUUGCAGUUUUAAUCCCUCUAUUUUUACUGAUUCAAAAAUUUGAUCACUCAAUUUUAAAAGUCGACACUUUUAAUACAUUUCUCUAAUUUUUUAACUAAAAAAUGAUGACGCGAAAUAUUUUAAAUAACGUAACAUACAAUAGGAUCAUUUAAAAUAAUUAAUACCUAUGAAAUUGGAAUAAAACGUUGUAUAAAUUUAGAUUUCAACUUCAAAAAAAUUUUAUAUUUUUAAUUUAAUUAAUGACAUAUGAAAUUAAUGCAUCUAGAUGGUUCUAUAUUAUAGAAUUUUAUGUCACAUAAUUAAAAAUAUGUCAAAUCAUCGUUUUAUAGUUUAAAAAUAUGAAGGAGUGACCGAACCUGUUGAUUUUUUAAAUAGAGGGACAAAUUUCGUGAAUAAGUAAUAAUAGAGGAACCAAAAAUAUAAUUAAAUCAUUUUUUUUAUAACAAAAAAAAAGACACAAUCUGUUGAUUUAUAAAUCAUGUAUAUCUAAUAUCUUCUUUUAUUUCAAACACAUUGUCUAUUUUGAUUAUGUAAUUAUAAAUUUUAAUUUUUUAUUAAAAAACUCGGGGUAUUUACUAAUAUAUUGCUCGUAUUUUUAACAUUUUGACCAUUUACUAGAUUAAGAUAUUUUUCAGUACAAAAUUAAGAUUAAAAUUUAAAUUUCUGUAGUACAAAACUGUGAUUAAGAUAAAUAUUUUUUUAUGAGAACUUCUACUUUAUAUAAGUUAAUUCAAUAUAUACUGAUGUAUUUGGUUUUAAAAUUAAGAGAAAAUACAUAGUGUAUUGUGAAUGUGAAUAAAUUUAACACUAACGGUGAAUAUGAACUUUUCAUUGUAUUAUCUCACUAAAACUGUAUAACAAUCAACGAUGUAUGAUUGGUUUUAUUAUACUGACAAUGCACGAUCGUUGAAUCCUAAAAUUAAUAGUCAAAUGAGUUUUUUUUUAAUAAAUAUUUUCUAUCAUUUAUAUAAUUAUUGUAACUAAUAUUAUUUACCACAAGUGUCAACAAAAUAAAAUUUAAUUUUUUUUCUCUAAAUUUUUAUUACUCAUAAUAGUAAAUAUUGAAUGUUUUUUAAAAUAAAAUAUUAAAUUUUAUAAUAAUGUUUAUAAACACAUAAAUUAUUAUAUGUUAAAAAAAAAUGUUAACAACACACCUUCUGAUACAUAUUUUUAAAGACACUCAUUUUUAUUAGUUAAAUUUUAGACAAUUUUUAUGGGACUCUUCAAGAAUAAGAGAGUAUUGAUACUCCUAAUUAUUUAACUAAUAAAUGUGUUACUUUUCUCCACAUUAGCAUCUAUGUAUUGUAUAUUAAGUUGAUCAAAUUAUUUGUAUUGAUAUAUUUAUUUUUUUAAUUUAAUCAUUUUAAAUUUAAUAAAUUAUUUUUUAAAAUUUUUUAUUUUAACUAAAAUUAAAAUCAUGAUCAAUUCAAAAGUUCAGAAUUUCUUCCUUUCGUCUCACUAAACCGCUUCAUCACCAAAGACAAUCGCUCUCCUCCGUCGCCCUUAUUAUCGUGAGAGAAGAACUUUUCACCGUUCUUCCACUACCGCAAAAAGAUCUCUCAUUUGUCUCACUUCCAAUUUGUUCAUGUUUGCAUUAUUGUUGUCUUGGUGUCGUCGACCACAUACGGUCAUUGUCGUGCCGUUAUUUCAAGGUUCAUCUUUGAUUCUUAAUGAAUUAACGACGGAAAUAGACGAUGCAUAAAUGAAGAGAGAUGAUCAAGAAUGGUUGAAAGAGUGGGCGCAGGGAAGAAACUUAAUUUUUUUUUUUAUAUAAUUUAAUAAAUAAACAUUAUUUAUUUUAAAAUUAAAAUUAAAAAUUAAAAAUUAAAAAAAUUAGUAACCUUGAAAUUAUAACAUUAUAGUCUUGAAUGUUACACGUGCCUGCACCUGAAUUAUCAGCAUGAUAUAUGAUUUCAAAAGGCAUAAUCUUGUCGCACAAAAUUAAAAUUUGAGAUUUGCGCCAUGGAAUUUCAUACAUAUAAUACAAUGUUGAUGAAAAUAAAAAUAUUGAGCUAGAGUCCUUUUUUACUACAACAUACUUAAGAGUUAAGCUAGAAACUUUGUGUAGAACGCUGGUAUAAGAGAACAUGUCAGCAAGCCACUAGAUAUCAACUGCUAGUAUAUACUAUGAGAAUUUGCAUAUUAUCCAACCCAAUGCAUAAAAAGAUCAAUAAGACAAUAAUUAAAGACAGAUCUUGAAAUUCUUUGUAGUGAAAGUAAGAUUUUUGUCAACAAGUAGUAGAUAAAAUUAUUUUACCUACAUGGACUAUAUAUUUAUGAGUACCAACUAAUUAUAAUUUAAUUACAUUAAACAUAAAAAAUAAUUUGGUGAAGAGAAAUUUAUAUCACUAUAACAUAAGAAAUCAAAGAAAGAAGGUUAUAAUAUCACUAAAUACUCAUAGGAUUUGAUCUAUCAAUAAAAGUUAUCAUAAUAUAGUUAAUGUUCUCUUUUGAGAUGAGAACUAUGUUCAAUUAAACAAAUUUUUAUUUUCGUGGUAAUUAUAUGUAUCGAACCUUUUAAGAUUUAUGAUACAUUAUCAGCUCCUCGAAAAAUCAAAUGUACUCUAUAAUAAUUUAAAUCUCAAUCUCAAAUUUUAUUGUUUGAAUAAUUUACUCGUACUUAUGAUUAUACAAAUAAAAGAUUUAACAAAUUUAUAUAACAUGAGUGUUCAAUAGUAAUCAAAUCAAAAUAAUCUAAUAAAUUAACAAAAGGAAAAGAACAACCAAUCAAUAAUCAUCGAUGUAUGAAGAGCUUUUCCAAAUCCUAUGUUGAUAGUGUCUCACACACAAUGGCAGUUAUAUGUUGAUAUUUAAUAAUUUUUGUAGAAUAUAAUUUAAUUAAUCAAAUUGUUGAGUCGAAUUUUUUUAUUGAAUAUACUAAAUAUUCCUAUCCUAACUUCUAAUAUAUAUAAUUCUAUAAAUCUAAUUCAGUCUUAAUUAUGACAUUUUAAAUAAAUUAAACAAUAUGUGAACAAUUGUAGAAAUUAUUUGAAAUUUUAGUAUACAUAAUCAUCAUUACGAUAUCAUAUAUGAUUCAAUUAGUUGAUUGAUUCAGUUUUGUUCUAUAAAAAUAUGAUAGUUGAUUUUUUCAAUACAAAAUGGGAGUGGGUACCGGAAACAAACGAAAGAAAAAUAUUAUUUUGGUGCGAUAUAUUUUAUAAAAGAAGUACACGAAUUUUAUAAAGUGUGAAAGCACAUUAACUUUGAAUUUGACAGAAAACUAAAAAGUUGCGGUUGAAAACUGAUAGGUAGGAUUAAUUCAUAUUCAUAUUUUUUCAUUUAUCAUAUUUUCGUAAACACGUGCAUUUUCUUAAACAAAAUAUGCUUUAAACAAACCAACUAAAAGAACAAUACAAAAAUAAGUAUGUUUUUUUUUUAAUUUGGGGUCGGAAGAACUGUAUCAAUUCAGAAAGACUAUGGGUUAAAAUUAUUUACUACAAUGAACAACUCACUUUAAGUAAUAAAUUGAAAAAUAUCAACAAUUGAUAAAUAAAUUAAUAAUUGAUAUUAAAUAUAUGAUUAAUUAUAAAAUAUUACAAUAUCAAUAAUUGAUUUAAAUUUUCAGUUUAGAUGAAUAAUAUCCAAAACGUUAGGGUUGUAUAGAUGAAUGGUGACUAUUAGUCCCAUCGAAUGAGUCACACAACUAGUUAGGCCAGUAAGGAAGUCAAAGAAAAGUGUUGAGACACAUGUGAAAGCAAAAAAGAAAAGGGGUAAAGGGCUCCAAACCUCUAGGUUUGAGUGAUUCAAAGUGACUCUCCUUUUCUUUAAGUAAACAAGUGCUGCAUAGCAUUAGUAAGCACAUUUGUAGCAUGUGCAAAACUCAAAAAGAGGGCUUAUGGCUCUAGGCCCAUUGGACCCUCCCCAAAACGCCCCACCACGUAGCUGGUUCCACCCAUUGUUCCCAUCUUUCUUCCCUUCACAACUCUUUUGCUGGCUCAAUGUAUAAAUAAAGGUGUAUAGUGUAGUCCAUAAGUCUAGUUUCUUCUUGAAAUAGAAAUUUAUAACAACUAGUAUUUUUUGUACUAUAUUAUUUGCCAACCUUUGUUUUCCAAUGGCAUCACAUAUUAUUACCAUUGAGUAGUAUAAGGAACCCCACUCACUCCUUUCCCAAUAAAAUCCAAGCCCCCUUUUCUUCCUUUUCUUUUUUUGGUUCCUCUUUUUGAGAAAGAUAAGGUGCUCAAUUCAGAGACCCACUUCAUGAUUUAGUUGUAAAAGGGCUUGCAAUUUGCAAAGGUUAAUUAUUUAAGAAUCUAGUACAAUAAAGCAUGGGAAGUGAUAGUGGUGUGUGAAGGUGGGACAAUAAUGUUGGGAAGUCGGUCUCGUUGAGUUUUUUUAUCAUCAUGCCUCUAACAACAAUUUUGCAAAUUUGUGUGAAAAUAAUGGAAGUCAUAACACAAUUGAGAGUGAGAAAAGAUUGAAGAGUGUGUCCUAUUCGUGGGUAUGGAAAAGUGUUUUUAAAUAGAUUGAGUACUUUGGUCAUAUAUUGUUGUUAAUUGGGUUUCUUUUGUGUUUUGAAGUUCCUUAUAACUCAAAUGAUAUGGGUAUUAAGUUAUAAUAACUUAUUUCAUACUUUCACAAAAUUGCUUGCAAAAGCUUUCGUAAUUUUACAAACCCUUGAUAAAAAUUUCUGACUAGAAAAUGUAGUUUAGGCAUGAUUGUAAUAAUUUACCCAAAAAGAACUACAAAUCUACAAUUGAUAAUAUGUUUGAUCUUUUUAAGUAUUGAUUUCAUAUAGCAUUAUAACAGCUAUCAUAAUUUUCACGCUUUGGGAUGCAAUAGUGCGAUUAGACAAAUUAUUAUUGAAAUAACAGAUAGUAUAUAAGCAAAUGUGGCGAAAGUUUGAAGAGCGUUUGGUAGGUGAAAACGUUUUCUUAUUUAUACUUUUUUUUAUUUUUAUUUUAUUUUUACUUUUUAUUUUAUUUUUUAAAAUUUGUGUUUGUUUUAUUUUGACGAGAUUCUUGAAAAAUAUUAUGAUUAUAAAAAGAAGAUCAAAUGUUAAUUAAUGGAUAUGUAUUUAUUAUUAUAAAAAGAAGAUCAAAUAUUAAUUAAUUGAUAUAUUUUUAAAAUAAAAAAAUUAUAUAUUAUUGUUUCUUAAAAUGCAAAUAAUUAUCCACUUUAAAGAUAUAUUACAUUUUUACUGAUAAAGAUGAAAUAAAUAAAAAAUAUUUUUACAAAUUGUUCAAACCACAAAGUAGAACUAGGGGUGGGAAUAGGCUAGGGCUCCGUCAGGAGUCUAUGGUUUGUUUAAUAAAAAUGUUAAGCUCAUACUUUAUUUAAAAUCUAUUAAUUUAAAUAGAUCAGACUCAACUUAUAAAAAUGUCUAUUAGACCUGAUAAGUCGGCAUAUAUAUAUAUUAAUAUUUAUUAUUUUAAAUUUGCUAAUUAUUGAUUCAUUUUGUUUCUUUAUUUUUUUUAGAAUGUUGUUGCAUACUUGCUAGUUAUAAUUUUAUUAGAUUUGGUUAUAUAUUAAGGCCUAGUUUAGCCUAUUUAAAAAAUAUAAGAUAUACUAUUUAAAAGUUUUAAUGUGAAAUAGACUUUGAAUAGGCUUUCAGGUCAGGAUGAAAAAAAUGUCUAUAAUAGGUCGUAGACCAAACUCAAACCGAAAAAAAUUAAUUGUAGAUUACACUCAAACUUUUCAAAGUCUGAAUUAACUUAUUCUCACUCCUAAGUAGAACACACAAACAAAUUCUUUUGAGAACAACUCGUAAUAGAAAACGAAAAAGACCGGAUAAAAACAAAGAAAAAAGAAACACCAAUUGCUCAGAUAUAAAGAAGUACAUAGGGUUUUAAAGAGAUUAUAUUGUUGAGUCUUUUGUUAGUUAUUUUUGUAUGAAAAAUCAAUUUUUUUAAAAAAGUUAAUUAAUUUUGUUGUCUGUUAACUUUUUAAAUAAUAAAAAUAUGAAAAUAAUCUAAAUUAAUUUAAAUGAAAAGUUUUUUCCUAGUAGUUGAUUAAAAUAAAAUUAUUAUUUAAAAUAAAAUUCAUAACAAAUAACAAUUAAUUAGUAGGGUUCGACGUUUAAAAAAACUAGGUAAAUGUAAAUAAGCCCCAAACAAGGUAGUGUUCGAAAUUUUGGACAAUAACCUUCCUGGUCUUGAGCUUUGUUUGAUAAAAUUAAGUUAUAAUUAGUUGAAAAAUUAAUUGAUAGCUGAUGAUUUAUAAUUGAAAAGUUAAUUAAUUGAAAUUAAAGUAUUUAGCAAAUUUAACUUUUAACAAUAUAAAAUAACAUAGAAAAACAUAAUUAUAUUUCUAUCAUUUAUAACUUUUGUGGUGGAAACAAUAAAAAAAAAUACAACAAACCUCUAGAAAAAACAAACCAGAAACCAUGCGGUUCAUUUUUUAUUUUUGUACAUCAUUUACUUUUUUCUAAUUACAAUACAAUCAUAAAUUUAAAAAGUUCUUUAAAAUUUUGGCAAGUUCUAUGUGUAUAAAUAGUAAUUAUAAAUGAAGUAGCAACGUCGAUUUACAAGGAAUGAGGUUUAAAUUGUAAAUGUUCUUAUUUAAAAUUUCACGUAAGAAUCUAAUAUUUUAAUUCAAAAUUGAUCUUGGUUGUGAAAAUAGAAAACGGAGAACGUUCUUGGUUAGUUAAUAUCAACAAUUCAGUUUAUAUAUUUAACUUGAUAAUCAAGCAGACUUAAUUUAAAUAGAGAUAAGAGAAGAACUCAAUGAUAUAUCCUGGUUCACCCAACUCGGGCUACAUUCAGUCAUCACAAUUGUGAGAUUUUCAGUAAGUGUUCAAAACGAAUAACAAUAUUGGUUUACACCACCAGUUCAGAUCAACCUUGAUCUGUUACACACCAAGUCAUUUCCACCUAGAAAGAUUUCAAAACGAUCACCUAUCAAUCUUUAGAUAGGAAUUUACACUUUACCUUUUAACCAUAAAAGAUUUUCUUACAAUCAACUUAAACUAUACUCGACACCUAUAGUCUUUGAGUUUUACAUAAUAAUGAUAAGAGUGUUUGAUAGAAUCUGAAUGAUCUCAACUCGUGUUUGAGAUUUGGUCCUUUACAAGAGAUUCAGUAUAAUAAUAACAGAAUAUUUAAGUAUGAUUAGAACUGACUCUUCUUAAGAAUGAGAGAAUUUCAAGAAUAUGAUUGUGAAUAAUUGAUGAGUUUUCUUAGCUCUUGAAGUUAUGAUUUUCCUUUGAGCUUGACCUUUCUUUUAGAUCAGUCUCCAGAAUGUUCAACAAUCAUUCUCCAUUAGAUUGACAUCAUUCUCCAGUCUGUUUUGCGCGAAUCAAGACAUUGUCUUGAACUGAAUUCAUCAACCAUAUAUCUGAGAAUCAAAGGAUCAUUAAACAAUCAUUCACCAUUUCCAUUACAGAAACAGAACGUAUAAUGUUCAAAGACAUGAACAUUUUUUUAAUUAAUAAAGUUUGGUGUUUGGUCAAAAUCUGACAGAUUACAGUAGAGCACUUUCCAACGACUUCAAAACAGACUAGAGAAUGAUGUCAGUCUACUGGAGAAUGAUUGUUGAACAUUCUGGAGACUGGUUUGAUUAUUUUGGAGACUGAUCUGAUCAUUCAGGAUACAGAUCUGAUCAUUCUAGAGACUGGUCUGAUCACUCUGGAGACAUAUAUGAUCAUUCUGGAGACUGAUGAAAACUUUCUGGAUAUUGAUGUUUAACAUGUUGGAGAUUGAUGUUAACAUGAUGUAGAAUGAUCUUGAUUCAUGUUAACAUGCUGAAGAAUGAUCUUGAUUCAUGUUAACAUACUGUAAAAUGAUCAUUCUUGAACUUUGAGGAUAAUCUUGCUUGAUUCAUCAUAUUCCAUAGCUUUUCUACUUUGUAUUUUGAAUUGAUUAUUUACUAAGAUGAAUCAUUUAUAUUCCUUCAAGAGUACUGAUUAUGUGAUUGUGAAAUCCAUAAGCAAUGAUUGUGAAAUCCAUGAGCAAGUUCUUCUUCAACAGAGGAGAUUAUUUGUUCUUGAAAUUUCAAAAAGUGUGGAGAACGUUCUCCGUUUUCCCGACUUUUGUCAAUAACGUUCUCAGUUUUGUUUGUUCAUUUUUGUUUUCUCUUUAAUGUUAUUUUGCUUGUAAUGCUUGAUACCUAUAUUUGAUUAACACACUUAAAUAAAAUGUUAAAUACCAAAACGUUUAGAAUCAUAAUUAAUUAUAAGUCUUAAUUAAGUUUUAUUUAGUUAUCAUUAAAAUAAUAAUUUCAGAUUUUGUCUCAACAAUAAAACAAUGCAAUUCAUUUAUUGUUUAUAAUUUGACAUAAAAAAUUAAUAUAACUUUAUCGCAAUAAUAAAUUAGAAUAUGAAGAAAUAAUAGUAAAUAUGACAAUUUAUAACUUAAUCAAUUUGUGUUUCGUAAACUUCUUAUAAGUUGAAUAAUAUGAAAGUUUUUUAUUAUUGAAUUAUUUUCUCAAAGAAUUAAAGAAAUUGAGUCAAAUUAUGUUCACCGAGAAGAAGAUAUACGUUAAACAAGUUAUGCGAACUAGUGAAGAGUGAUGGAGUAGUUAUUUUAUAUUACAUAAUGAUAAAAAAAAUAAUAAAAAUAAAAUAAUAAAGUUAUAAAUAGAAAAAAUUGUAAAAAAGUAUAAGUUUAAACGCUACUUAAAUUAGCGUUUCAAAAUAAAAUAUAAGUUGGUGCAAAAAAUUUGUUUACCAAUAAACUUAUAAAUUAAUUUAAAAAACUAUAAACUAACUUAUUGUCGUUAUCAAACAGUAUCGUUAAACUUCGACCACCAAUACACACUCCACAAAUUUGAGUAUUUUCUGGUAAAAAUCAAUAAAAUCAUAAUUAUUUUCAUACUCCAAAACUUUUUUCACAACUUUUUUGAAAAUUCAAAUUUGCUUUUAUUUAAUUUUUUUUUAUAUAAAAAAAUAUAAAAGUAUUCUACCCCCAUCAUUUGUAAAAGAAUUUAAAAAAUUCUACCGAAAAAGAUUCCAAACAUAAUUUUUAUCUGGAACACAAAAGUUUUUUCAAAAAAUAAAUAUGUUUCAUAAAGAAAAUUAAAACAUUUAAUGAUAGCAGAAUCCACUUAAUAGCGGGACCUUAUGUAAGAUUCUUAAUUUGUAAAUGCAAUAGUAAGAAUUAAUGAAGGAUUAGUCGACAAAUUGUAUUGUAUUUUAUUGAUAAUAAGAGAAAUUGAACAAAGGAAACAAGCCUUCCUUUUACUCCUGAGAACUAUUCUCACUCAAAUCAGAUAUAAUAUUCCUUCUACUAAUAGAAUUGUUGUUAUCCUUUCUCCUUAUCAACCUCUCCCCUAUAUAUAGGAUGAGACUCAUGCUUUUCCACCUCACCUCCCAGCUCACCUUUCUUAUAUUUUCUAACAUACACUAUUCAUGUCUUAGGUGCACUACGGGUCCCAAUGGACAUGUCACCAAUUCCCGUUUUGUCCCCAUCAAUACUCCCCCGUUGAGUCAUAGACUUAUCCUCAAGUCUGAGGGAUGAGAAUUGUAUCAGCAUGACAAACUCGUCCUCCUAUUUGGCUUAUUCAACAAGCUUGCCUUUCCAAUGAAUGAUCAAUUGUUUGACGUCCAAUCUCUCUUUAGUGAUAAUGCGAGUGGCAAGCACUACUACUGGUACCCAUGGUGUGGCAUGAUCACCGUCGAGGCCUGGGGCUAACUCAUUCUCAACUUGGUAAUUGCCAAUUGCCUUAUUAAGCAAUGAAACAUGGAACACCGGAUGAAUGCAAGCUGUAACAGGUAGCUGGAGACGAUGCACCAUUGUGCCAACCCGUGUUGUUAUCUCAAAAGGCCCAUAAUAUAUUGGAGAAAGUUUUGGAUAGAUGCGUGAUUCGACAGAAUUCUGCACAAGUGUCCUCAAUUUAAGAAAGAACUAUUCACCAACUUUAAUACUCACAUCUCUUCUUUUCUUGUCAGCUUGGUCCUUCAUGCAUCUACGGGCUCGAUCGAGAUGGUACUUCAAUUGUCUCAAAGCCUCGUGCGAUCAAUAAGUUCCCUUUUUACCGUAAGUCGAACCAAAUUGUUAGGAUUAAUUAGUGAUUGAUCAACAAAUGAUAGUGUAUUUUAUUAAUGGUAAGAGAAAUUGAGCAAAGAAAACAAACCUUCCUUUUACUCCUGAGAGGUAUGCUCACUCAAAUCAGAGAUAAUAUUUCCUCUACUCACAAUUAACCGAAUUGUUGUUAUCCUCUCUCCUUACCAACCUUUCCCCUAUAUACGGGACGAGGCUCAUGCUUUUACCCCUCAUCUGUCAGCUCACCUUUCUUAGAUUUUCUAACAUAUAUUCUCCAUGUCUUAAGUGCACUAUGUGUCCCACUGAACACAUCAUCAAUUCUCUCUUUGUCUGCAUCACCUUUUAAUUACUUGUUCAUAUUUAUCUUUCUAAAAUAAGUGUUUUGAGUAUAAAAGACUUAUAAUUAAAAUGGUAAGAAAUAAAAUUUUAUGAAAACCAACGCAAUGUGAAUACGGAAAACGCAAAUCGAUGUUGUUCUAUGCGUGUACUGUUGAGCAACAUGCGGCCCAUUAGGAUUGACAGAAAAGAGGACAAUCCCAUCGAUGGAUGCUUCUUCAUUUAUUGGGCCUAUGGAAUAUUAUUGGAUCAAAGUCAUCACGACUUUGAUGAAAAUUUUACCCAAUUAAUAAAAAUUUAAUUUUAUGUUUUUUAAAACAAAAAAGUUUAAUUUUGUAUUUUAUGGCACACGUUUGUAUUUCAGAAAAUUUGAGAGAAAAAAUUAAAGUAAAAUAUGUUUAAAAAACUUAAAAAAUAUUUUUUUAAAAACAAUUUGAGUUUUCUAAAAAAAAUGUGUAUUCCGAAAAAUAAAAAAAAAAUUCUGAUAUACAAAAUUUUCUGAAACAUAUUUAUGUUCUAAAAAAUCUUUUUUAAAUUUUUCUGACAUAAAUAUGUUUUAGAAAACUUGAAGAAAAAUAUCGAAACACAAAAUUUAAAAUUUUUAAAACACAUUUGAAUUAAAAUUUAACGAGGUAAAAAAAAUUUAUAAGAUAAAAAAGGGGUAUAAAUAUAAGGUAUAAUUUUCGACUUUGCUUGGUCCGGUUUUACAAACCUUUGCGCUAAAAUAAAAGAAUAUGCAACUUUGAAAAUACAACUAAGAUCUUUUUCCAAUAUCUCUUGACCUCUUUGGAUUUGCUAGCUAGCUAUUUUUUUAUCUUGUUCAUUUGUUGGGGAUCAAAAUAAGGGACAUAUUCAACGGGUCUCAUAGACAUGUUGGGUGUUUGUUUUGGACACGAAUUUAGGUUGACUAAUAUUUCUGUAAAUUUGUUUGUAGCCAUUCAUUGAUCGGAAAAAAAGCGUAUGGAGAUGAGCCCAUGUGGCAUUGCUUAAGUUGCCUUUAAGUGAAUUUAUUCUACUUGUUCGGUAAGGAGGUGUGUGUAUAUAUCUACUUGCCGGGGAUUUAUAAUUUCUUGUCUGCGUUUCUGUUCUUGCUUGUUUUCUUCUUUCUUUUUUUUAAAUCAUAGUUAUAAUUUUUGUAAAAUUACUGUGAUGGUUUAUUAUGAUUUUGAUAAAUUUAUCAUAAUAUUAAAUAUAUUAUUUUUUCUAUUUUUUUAUAGUUAAUUUCUUUGAAUGAUUUCUUUUAUUUUCGGUAUAAUCUCUCUCACUCUAAUAUCAAACUUAAUUCAUAUCUUGUUUGGACGUAAGUGUUUCGGUCCAAAUGCCAAAAAUGACUUAUCAUGGUCCAAAUUUAAAUUAAAUCUUCAGAACUUACAAGUAAAUUAAGUAUGUUUUUGUCUAUGUAAAUAAAAUUCAAAAACAGGUUGUUGUGUCUACUAAAAGCAGCAAUUCAAAAAAAUAAACUAACAUUGAAUUAAUUUAUUGUUUGAAUUUGAAACAUUAAAGAGAGUAGAAAAGUCAAUAAAGUACAGUGAGAUUGAAACAUUGAAUUAAUUUAUUGUUUGUAUAUGUACAGUGAGAUUGAUUCUUGAAAAAUAGAUAUUGAUAAAUAGGGUCCGUUUAGCUUGGACCAAUUGAUUUUUGGUCUCAUACCGUUUCAAUUGAAAAUACCCAUUAGAAAGUUAUCUUUUAUACCCCCAAUUAAUUUUAUACUCUUCAAAUUGUUAAACACUUAAAAUUAUUCUUAAAAAUUUCAUUGAUUAAAUGGUAAAAAAGAAUUACUUCAAAGUCUCACCCUCUCAACCAAAUUUUCAAUACGUAAAACUUUUCCAUUAAAAUUUGGUAUAUAUAUUCACAACCGAAAAUUUCGUAUUUCAAAUUUCCGGUAGUUAUAUUUUCCAUACCAGAAAAUUAAUUUUUUUGAAAUAUCCGGUAGUUACAUUUACCUUACUGGAAAUUUCAAUUUUUUGAAAUAUCUGGUAGUUAUUCUACUUAACCGGAAAUUUAAAAAAUCUGGUAUGUUAUUUAUUUAUUUAUUUGAAAUAGAGAUGGAAAAAACACAACCAGUAUGUAUAGAUUUGACUGAAGCAUUUGCAAUUAAUCAAGUUUUUGAGUCACGAGAAGAUAUCAUAUCAUGUGCAAGAGAUGUCGGCCGACAAAAUCGAGUAGUAGCUAUCAUUAUUCGAUUUGACGUAGAGACCGGAAAGAGAAGAAGGAAGUCAAAAUUAAUUCUUAGUUGUGAUAUAGGUGGAAAAUAUAAGUCAAAUAAAAGUAACACAUGUACUUCAACUAAAAGGCGUGGUUGUCCGUUUAAACUUUGGUCGAGAACAUUGAAAAAUGUUAAAUGAUGGAUUAUUAGUUUAAUGUGUGGACUUCACAACCAUGAGUUAGUGGCUACUUUUGAGAAUAAUGCAUUUAUGAAACACUUAAAAGAAGAAGAUAAGAAACAUGUUAAUGAGCUGACAAAGUAUCACGUUGCACUGAGACACAUCUUGUCAUCUUUGAGAGAUCGAGAUAAGGAGAAUGUGACUAAUAUCUAUCAAAUUUACAAGCAACGAAGCACAUACAAGAAGAAUUUGAAAGGACCUAGAACUGAUAUGCAAUAUUUGUUGAAAUUACUUGAAGCUGAGAAGAAUGCUUGUUGGAGUAGGACUCAUGAAGACUCCAACGUUGUGAGGGACAUAUUUUGGACGCACCCAGAUUCCAUAACUUUGUUGAACAUGUUCCUUCUUGUAUUGAUUAUAGACAGCGCCUACAAAACCAACAAGUAUAGGUUACCAUUGUUUAAAAUUGUUGGUGUAACUUCAACUGGGUUGAUAUUUAAUGUUGCAUUUGCUUAUAUGGAUUCUGAGCAUCGAGAAAACUUUUGUUGGGCAAUGGAGAAGUUAAAAAAGUUGUUUAUUUCAAACACCUCAUUUCCUUAGGUGAUCGUGACUGAUAGAGAACUUGUUUUAAUUAAUGCAAUUGAAGUUGUAUUUCCAUCUCCAACAAAUUUACUUUGUCAACUUCAUAUUAACAAAAAAAUUGGAGCCAAAUGCAAAUAAUAUAUAUUAAAGAAAGAUAUGCAAGAACCCAUUAUCGAGUUGUGGAGGAAAAUUGUUUAUUGUUUUGAAGAGAAGGAGUACGAAGAACUUUUGCAAAUGUUUGACCAAGCAUGUGUCGAUAAUAUUAUUUUCUUUGACUACAUCAGAGACACAUGGUUGAAUCCUCACAAGAAAAGAUUUGUUGAAGCAUGGACCAAUCGAGUAUUGCAUCUAGGAAAUACUACGACUAAUAGGUACGUCAUUAAAACUUUACAUUUUGUUUUAUAUUUAUACGUAUAUAGGAUUAAACAUGCAUGAUAAAAAAUUUAUUGAAACAAUAUCAAAUAUUUUUUAUAUUUGAAUAUUCGAGUUGAGUCUGCUAAUUGGUCAUUGAAGAAUUUUUUGGAAUACAGUAAAAGAGAUUUUUGUAAGGCAUGGAAUGAUAUGAAUGACAUGUUGAAGUUCUAAAUUAUUAAGAUAAAAGGUUCAUUUGAGAUAAGUAAGGGUUGCAAAGAGCAUAUACACAACAAUUCAUUCUAUGAGAAAUUGACUUGGGUUGUAUCCAAGAAAGCCUUAGCUGAUAUUGUUCAUCAAUACAAGAGAGUCACCUAUGUCGAUAAGGACAAAGUUGCGUGUUGUUGUAUACUUAGAAACACUCAUGGAUUAUCUUAUGCAUGUGAAUUGGUAUGAUGCAAGUUGAAAGGUGUUCCAAUUUCAUUAGAUGUUGUUCAUAUACAUUGGAGGAAAUUAACCAUGAAUAGCGAUCAAGAUGAAGAAAAGUUGGCAAAUGAUUCAGAGUUAGACAUUACAUCGGAGAUGAAUAUAAUUUGGAAAACAUGGAAAACACUUAACGUUGCUGGAAUAAGGGCAUUAAAGAGCAAGUUGCGUGAAAUAUCAUAUCCAGAAACAACAUUAAUGUGUGUGCCACUGGAUAAGAUCAAAACAAAAGGUGGUGUAAAGCUCUCUCUAAUAAGACACGCAUCUCAUCUUCAGGACCACCCAUAUGUAAAUCUAAAUUUUUUUGUAUAAGACCACUCAUUUCUUGACACCGUGUACACCUAAUUAAACUAACUACAACUUAUGAAUUAUAAUCUCGACAAUCCAACUUUACAUUAUCACCUAAUUAGACUAACUACAACUUAAGAAUCUUAAUUUUGAUGAUCCAACUAUAGAUUAACACAUGAUUAGACUAACUACGACUUAGGAAUCCUAAUUUCUAUUAUUGAUAGGUUCAACCUAGCUAAUCUAAUUAGACCAGCGAUAAUUUAGGAAUCCUUAUUUCGACUAUCCGACCGUCAAAGUUAACCUAAAUAGACCAACUACAACUUACGAAUCUUAAUUUCGAAGACCCAAAAGUUAAAUCUAACUUAAUUAUCCUAACUACGACUUAGGUAUUAUAAUUUCAACUAUUCAACGAUUCAAUCUAAUCUAAAUAGAUUAACCAUGCGAAACCUAAAUUCAAUUAUCCAACCCAAAUUCUAAACUUAAUAGGGUUAGAGUUGAAUAACUUGCACACUAAGUAGCUUACACAAUACAAGUAAUUUAAGAUUAAAUUGACACUUUGAAUUAUGGAAUGAAUGAACUUAUUAGAGAGGACAUGUUCUUCUUUAUUUAUACUCAACGAUUCAAUCAAUACAAUAUUGCAUUAUGAGCAACUAACGUGCUUACAAUUAGUUUCACAUGUAACUAACUCCUAGUAACCUUCUAACUACUUAACUAAAUUGGAUUAUCUAUAAUAAAUGUAUUAAGUACAAUUUAUGAAUUUUAAUUUCAACGAUACAAUAAUUCAAUCUAACCUAAUUAGUCCGAAUACGACUUAGGAAUCAUAAUUUCGACGAACCAAUUGUACAUUCUAAGCUAAAUAAACUAAAUGUGACUUAUGAAUCCUAAUUUCGAAAAUCUAAUUGUAUAAUCUAACUUAAAUAGACUAACUACGACAUAAGAAUCUUAAUUUCGACGAUUCAAUAGUUCAAUCUAACCUAAAUAUAUUAACUACGACUUACAAAUUAUAAUUUUGAUGAUUCGACCGUCAAUUCUAAUCUAAAUAGACCAACUACGAUUUAAGAAUCUUAAUAUCGAAAAUCCAAUUGUUCGAUCUAACUUAAAUAGACUAACUAAGACUUAAGAAUCCUAAUUUUAAUAAUGUGGCAUACGUUGUAACCGAAGUAGACUCACUACAAUUUACAAAUCCUAAUUAUGACGACUCAAUAAUUUAUUUUUCCGAUUGUCCCUUUAAUUAUUAUUGUAUACACUACUUUUAAAGUAUUGAUUUUUAUUUAAUUAAUUAUUACAUUUUUUAUUAGGUGUAUUAAAAGUUUAAACGAUACUUAUUUUAAAAUAAAAAACAUUUUUUUUUCAACGAAACACCAAUGUUUAAUUAAAAUUUGACUAACCAAACAAAAAAUUAUUGAAAUGCCUUAUAAACAAAACCGAGUCAUUUAACCUUUAUAUUUUUGUGUAACCUUGGCCCAUCAAUUAUUUCUACCAAAAAUAAUUACAACAAAGUUAAUAAUUAGUAGUACAAAUUUCUUAACUUAAUACAUUUAACUUAAUACAUCAUAAUUAUAUGUUGCUAACUAACUUAUUUAUUAUCCGCUAUAAAUUUAUUUACUUUAAAUUAAUCUCAUGUAAUCCGCUAUUUUUGUCAAACAAAGUCUUGACAGCAAUAUUUAUUAACUAAUCCUCAUAGAAAAUCAUAUUAUUAUACUAAUGAUAAUAGAAUAAUAAUAACUAAAAUGUAAACAUGUAUGAUACUUAUCGGAUAUAGCAGGUAGCAUACAAAAUAAAUUGGAAAUAGCAAUAAAUGAAUUAAAAUGCUUAUGAUUUAUACAAGAUAAUUAAUAGGGUUCAAAGUUGAGUGUACCAAGUUCAUACAUAAUAAUACUAAGAGAACAAGAAUUACAUAAACAUAAACUAAAUAACAAUAUCUUAAAUAAACUAAAUAACAAUAACAAAACAAUAACAUAAACAUAAGCAUAAAUAACUGAAUAAACUAUUCACUGAUUUUCUUGUAUGCAGAAUAGGUAAGAACGAAGGCGAUUGCAACCCAAAUGCUUUUAAGUGCAUCUGACUUUGGUUGUUUUCCACCGAGGAACAAGGAGUAGGAGUGGUCGUCAGUGCAAAAGAGACCGGGAGUUUGAAUACAUCGAUGAACACUACAAACUUUGUUUAGCUCCGUCAUCAAUUCUCGGUUGGUGAUGCAGCCUCCUUUUUUACGCACUAUCUCCAAUAGUGUAUCAGUGAAAACACUCCUUGACUUUAUUUGUCCGUUGACCAGUUCCCUAGUCUCCCAAGCAACCUGAUUACGUUGACAGGCUGAAAACAAAGAAACUAAUUGUCUUUGUUGUCGAGUAUCUUCUCCACCGACUAUGUCCAGUAUAUCUGCAAAUCCUCUUCUUCCUUUGCAUGUCAAUUGUUGUUUUAAUCCAUCGAUUAAAUUUCCACUAAAACAACAGUCUAAUAUCAUAGUGAAAUAAACCCCUUCAGCAAGCAUAUUUAAACGAUCUUUCAGCUCUUUGUCUGUAUUGUUACAAGAUAUGUAGAUAAAUUAAAAGUUAAAAGAUAAAAGUAUACGUGAAUUAAGAUUGCAUAUAUACUGAGAUGUUUACGCAAUUUCAGUUCACGUACAUGGCUUACUAUUCAGCAUUCAAUGAUUACGCAAUCUUAGUUCACGUAGGUGUAUGUGAAUUCAGAUUGCAUACACUAUAAGGAUUCAAGUUUCAAACUCCAUUGAUUACGCAAUCUGAGUUCACGUAUAUGUACGUGAAUUCACAUUGCGUAAAGUCUGAGAUUUUUAAUUUUUUUUAAACAUACGUAAACUAAGUUCACGUAACUCUAGAACGUAUGUGAACUGAGUUCACGUAAAAUCCUCAUAUUUACAACAAAAAAAAUAACAUACAUUUUUAUGAUGAUUUUUGUAUGUGAGUUAUGAGGUGUGAUGAAAGUUGAUAAAUGUGAGUUAUGAGAUAAUAAAUGUGUAACAUUGAUGGCAAGGGCAUUUUGGAUAUUUUAAUUUUUUUUAAUUUUGAGGGGUGUGAAUAGCAAUUUGGGGGGUGUUGGUAGCAAUAUUGUUUUUUUUAUAGCCAUUGGAUUGAUCAAACUUAUACAUAUUAUUAUUAUAGUUCAUGUUAUACAUUCUUUCUUUCUUUUCUUUUUGCUCAAAACCACCACCACCAUAGAAGAGCUUUCCCAGCUAUCAAUAACCACACCACCACCACCAUUGAACUCAUCUCGUCUUCCUCUACGAUACCUAUUUUUACCAACAAAGUUUUGAAGUAAAAUAAAUAGCAAAGUAUGAACUUUGUAUGCAUGAAAAAGAAAAGCAAAGUAGGAAAUUGAGAACAAAAUUGAAGAUUUAACAAUAAGUGAACAAUUCUAAAUUAACAUGUGAACAAUGUAGUGGACUUUUCUGUGUAUGUAUUUGCUUUUCCAUUUUUAUUUUUUUUUAUUUAGAUUUUUCAUUGCUCUGUGACCUAUCAGAGUAUUAGUUAAGGAGAGAAAAAUUGCUUUAGAUACUCAAAAUGUGUCAUUGUUGCCACCAAGUUUUUAAGUAAGGAUGAUACAUGUUUUUUUUUUUAAGGAAAGGAUGAUACAUGUUAAGAUCAAUAAGACUUUAAAACCCAUUUACCAACAUUUUUUUUUUUGAAGUUUCAAAGUCUUAAAGAUGUCUUUUAUAGAUGAAGAAAAGAUGGGUUUCAAUGUUGGCGGGGGUGGUGUGGCUAUUGGUGGCCGCAAAAGAUCUCCCAUGGUAGUGCUGGUUUUGAAAAUGAUUAUGUAUAACAUAAACUAUAGUAAUAAAUAUAAAUUUGAUUAAUCCAACGGCUAUAAAAAAACAAGAUCAUAAUGAACCAUUUUAAUAGUGAUUCAUAUUAAAUGUCGUCUAAAAGUUAAGUGUAUACAAAUUGUGUCCAUGCGCCAAAAAUAUCAAGAUUUCUUUUAUAUUUAUAUCUAAAGUAAAUUGACAAGGAAACAAUUUGUAUGAAAAUGUUAUCGUCUACCCACAAUUUUUACCUCCUACUCCUACAAAUCCCCUAAACCUCAAGUUUGUUCUUGACUCUUUAAAAAACAAAAGUUUUGCGAAACCUAGAUCUGGCAUAAGAUUUCGACAAAUUCAAGUUUAUAGUUUAUCAAAGCCUGUAUCUAUUAUAGCAAAUUAAAUUUAACUUCGACGAAAACAUUUUUAUUGCACCAAGUUGAAUUAGAGCUCGCCGAUAAUACGAAAAAAGUAAAUUCGAAUUUACCAAAAGCUAUUUCUAUUUCAACAAAGUAAAAUUUUGAAUUUUCCCCAAAAAAAAUCCCUUUUACUUAUUAGGAUGAAAAGUAAUGUAAGUAAUUAAAAUAAUUUGUGGGGUAGGAAGUAGUAUUGGAGUGGUACGAAGUAAAAUUUUCUAAUCACCUACCACACAUUCACAGGCCCAUUUUACUUUGGUUAAAGCCCAAUAUAAGAGGCUAAACGAAUCAAACUGUUCUCAAACCCUGAUGUUUUAUAAGCACGUACGCAGAGGCACAGAGGCGGCAAGUUGCUUAGGGUUUCACUUCAUCAAAUCCCAUGUCCUUCACUUUGCAAGUUUGCGCAAUUUAUUGGCUCCGUUGUAUAUUCAAUUUUAUUUUAUUUGUUUGAUUUAAUUUCAUGUGUGAGUGAUGAAGAUGAGGGCUGAGGCAUAUAGGGGAGAGCAGUAAUAAAGUAAUUGUGGCUCUGAAAUACCUGUAGGUUUUCUACGGGGUGCCCUGCCAUUCAUGCCCUUCACAUCAAUUCUAUGGCAUCAUAGUACGGAUUUUGUGCUUUGUGGAAUGGAUCUUGUUUGGAUCUGUGACUUUUGUCCUUGGAAUUUUGGCAUUGCCUUUUUUCCUCUGCCAAUUUCACUCUUCCAUCCCAUCCCAUCCCACUUCUUUUCUACACAAAUCCGCCUCCAAACGCCAUUACAUUCCAUUAACUUUAUCACCCUUUUCUCUUAAUUUAUUAAAGCGGUUUUGGUUUGAUUUUUUUUUAGUUUAGCUUCCAUAUCAAUCAAUUACUGAGAUUUUACAUAUGAAAUGCUUUUUUUUUUUUUGUGAUUUGAAAUAUUUUUUUAAUAUUUUUUGGACAUUUAUUUGAGUAGGAUUUACCUUACUUAGCGGCCGUUCUAUUAUUUGAGUAAGAAUAAUUGUAAUUAGAUAGAAGGAUGACUGAUAAGAGGGUCAUAAUAGGGCUUUGGCCAAGAAAUGCUCUUUUGUAUUAGAUUACUUUAAAGAAUUCUAUUGUAGUUAAUUUGGUCAUGUAUCUUAUAAGCAACAACCAACAAUGUCCAAAAAUGAUUUGAGUUUAUACAUGGGCAGUUAAGAAAGUGAUGAUUAAAGCAGGUACUUCUGAUAUAUGGUUUGACACAUCUAGUGUUAGUUCUCUUGGUGCAGCAUACUACAUUGUAGCUAUGCUGUGUCGGGCAUCUUAGACUGUGUCUACAUGAUUAUAUAAAUAAGAGCUGCUAACUGAUUUAUUUUUUCUGUCUUGAAUUAUUUUUAAUAGACUGAUCCAAUAAUUAAGCAUUUAAAAAUACAUCUUGAUGUGGUAGAUACAAGUGUUUUUUACACUUAAGUUGGUUUAUUUAUGCAAUGAUAUAACUUGUGAUAGAACACUUUGGUAAAAAUAUUUAUUGUAAAGUAGUGUCAGUGUUUCAUGCAACUAAAAUAAUCUGAAUGCAUAUCCUUAUCUGUUGAAAAACCUUUUUAUCAUCAUAAUACAUUUUAUAACAUCAUGUAUGAUGCAGAUACACAAUGUAGGACAUCAACAUCUUUAGGUUUUUAAAUGUUAAUUUAGUGGAUGAAUUGUUUCUUCCUAAGCUCUGUAUGCUCCUAACUGAGUUUUCUCAAGCUUUUCAAUCACUGACUGCAUUUGAGAGUUUGGAGUUCUGCAUUUGAAAAACAAACAGGAAAGAAAACUGUAUGUUUUAUUGUGGAUAAAAGCAUAUAAAAUUUGAGUAAAGCAUAUCUCAAUUAAUAGAUCUAAGUUUUGUAAAAAUUAUGUAUACUGUGGAGCUUUUGACAAAGUAAAAUGUCCAUACAAUUAUUACAAAGGAAAAAAGGCUUAAAUGAAACUGUUAGUUAUUGCAGUUACAAAUACUCUAAAAUUUUUAAUUGUACAAAAAGAGCUUGUUGUUCUCUAAAGAUUACUGAAUCAAACUCAUUGCUUUGAGGACCUUACUUUUUGUUCUCUCUGUUUAUAUCACACUAACAGAAAUAAAUAAGUAAACAAAGUGAGAACCAAAUCCAUGUAAAUGAUUUAUUUUUAUUCUGCUAAACAUAAAUGCUCUCAUUCCACGUAAUAAUGUAAUUUGCAAUUUCCAAUUUGCAAAAAUGUAAUAAUGAAAAUCCAUGUAGUUUACCAAAAAAAAUAACUAGUACAUGUAUGAUGCAUGAUAUUUGUCAAAUAUAAUUUGUACAUUGUUCAUUUCUUG
rnacentral:lncRNA from 1 species